rnacentral:ncRNA from 1 species
UUUCAGGGCAGGGCGUAAUUCCCGACCGGCGGUAAACUCCGCGAGCCGAAAGGUUGAGCUAGUGAAAUUCUGGCAGCGACAGUAAAGUCUGGAUGGAAGAGAU